GACGAACGCUGGCGGCGUGCUUAACACAUGCAAGUCGAGCGGGUAAGGCCCUUUCGGGGGUACACGAGCGGCGAACGGGUGAGUAACACGUGGGUGACCUGCCCUCAGCUCUGGGAUAAGCCUGGGAAACCGGGUCUAAUACUGGAUAUGACUCCACUGACGCAUGUUGUGGGGUGGAAAGCCUUGUGCGGCUGAGGAUGGGCCCGCGGCCUAUCAGCUUGUUGGUGGGGUGANGGCCUACCAAGGCGA
rnacentral:rRNA from 1 species